GUGGAGGGUACAUUUAUGUUGGUGUCCCGCCUUUGUACAAGGUUGAAAGGGGAAAGCAAGCAUAUUAUUGCUAUGACGAAGCAGAUCUGAAACGACUACAGAGUUCGUUCCCUCCAAAUGCAUCAUAUAACAUUCAGAGGUUCAAAGGUUUAGGAGAGAUGAUGCCUUUACAAUUAUGGGAGACAACACUUGAUCCAGAGAGAAGAUUGCUAAAGCAACUAGUGGUUGAGGAUGCAGCAGAAGCGAAUGUUGUUUUCUCCUCUCUUAUGGGUGCCCGGGUGGAUGUGCGGAAGGAACUUAUUCAGAAAUCUUCAGGCAUGAUCAACCUUGACCACCUCGAUAUCUGAACGGGGUAUAUCAUCAACUAUAGAAGGUUGAAAAUUGUUUGCACUGUAUAUUUUACGAGAUCAAUCAAGUGUAAACGCUUCACAAGGGGGAAGAGGCAAUCAAAUGUAGACAUUUUUAUAAUUUUGUGUGAAGCGGAUGCAUGUUUAUUGCAUUUUGUCCAUU